rnacentral:rRNA from 1 species
GUGCCAGCAGCCGCGGUAAUACGGAGGGUCCGAGCGUUAUCCGGAAUUAUUGGGUUUAAAGGGUCCGUAGGCGGAUGAUUAAGUCAGGGGUGAAAGUUCGCAGCUCAACUGUAAAAUUGCCUUUGAUACUGGUUAUCUUGAGUUGUAUUGAAGUAGGCGGAAUAUGUAGUGUAGCGGUGAAAUGCAUAGAUAUUACAUAGAACACCAAUUGCGAAGGCAGCUUACUAAGUACUAACUGACGCUGAUGGACGAAAGCGUGGGUAGCGAACAGGAUUAGAUACCCUGGUAGUCCACGCCGUAAACGAUGGAUACUAGCUGUUCGGGGCCUUGAGCUCUGAGCGGCUAAGCGAAAGUGAUAAGUAUCCCACCUGGGGAGUACGUUCGCAAGAAUGAAACUCAAAGGAAUUGACGGGGGCCCGCACAAGCGGUGGAGCAUGUGGUUUAAUUCGAUGAUACGCGAGGAACCUUACCAGGGCUUAAAUGUAGUCUGACAGCUUUAGAGAUAGAGUUUUCUUCGGACAGAUUACAAGGUGCUGCAUGGUUGUCGUCAGCUCGUGCCGUGAGGUGUCAGGUUAAGUCCUAUAACGAGCGCAACCCCUGUCGUUAGUUGCCAGCAUGUCAUGAUGGAGACUCUAACGAGACUGCCCGGUGCAAACCGCGAGGAAGGUGGGGGAUGACGUCAAAUCAUCACGGCCCUUACGUCCUGUGCCACACACGUGCUACAAUGGCC